AUUAGCUUAAUCUUAGACAAUUAUGUAAGAUAAAGAAGUUCCUAUUAUUGUUCACUGGAAGAGGAUCAUUGCACACUUUCUUUAAUCAUUGAAUUAGAAGAAUAAAAAUGACGUAGUCGAGGGCCUGAGAAUUAAGUGGUGAAUGGUAAGAUAAGAUUACCCAUCUGCAACACAAAUUGAAUAUAUUUUUCUUCAAAUCAUGAAGGGAAUAAUUAUAAUCCA
rnacentral:misc_RNA from 1 species